UACGUAGGGGGCUAGCGUUGUCCGGAAUCAUUGGGCGUAAAGAGCGUGUAGGCGGCCCGGUAAGUCCGCUGUGAAAGUCGGGGGCUCAACCCUCGAAUGCCGGUGGAUACUGUCGGGCUAGAGUGCGGAAGAGGCGAGUGGAAUUCCUGGUGUAGCGGUGAAAUGCGCAGAUAUCAGGAGGAACACCUGAGGUGAAGACGGGUUGCUGGGCUGACACUGACGCUGAGGCGCGAAAGCCCAGGGGAGCAAACGGG
rnacentral:rRNA from 1 species